ACAGCACGUGUUACGAUGCUCC
rnacentral:miRNA from 1 species